AAUGUCUUCCCUUUCUGUUUUUCAUGCCAACACAAACCUGUGACUGCCAAUUUGGAUCAAAAGGAGAAUGGAAGUUGGAACUCUGCUGGAAGUAUGGAAUGGCACAUCCUAAAAAUAGAAGUGCAACAGGAAUUACCUACAAAGGAAACUGGAAACUCCACAGCAUCUCUCUGUCAUCCUUCCCUCCAGAUGGUGCCUCCAAAUCCCUUCUGAAGGCGAUUGUGCAAACCAGCAUGAUCUGUAUUUGCCAAACAGCUCAACAAGAAAUGUUCCCCGUUCCAACCAGUAGAAAUUAAUACCAGAGACAGAAAUCCUUUCACUGAAGCCAUGGAGGAAGACACACACUCCAGUCCUGACCAUUGAACCACUGUGGUUUAAUUAUGCAAAACUGGGGUUGAAGAUUCAAGAUAUUGCUCAGAUUGUUCUGCAAUAAACUCUUCUGAUUCAACA
rnacentral:lncRNA from 1 species